UUGUUUGUUGCAACGCCAAUUACAUUUGUUUUGGGAAGGGAAACAUUCCAAACUAUGUCAUAUACAGAUACAUUGAGCAUUAUCCGAAUCAAAAAUUGUGUUUUGAGUAUCCUAAUUCUGAAGAUGGAUGCACCAAUUUACUUUGCCACUGUAAGAUAUUUAAGGGAAAGGAUCUCAUGGUGGAUUGAUGAAAAGGGAGACAAGUUUGAAGUAUGUUAUAAUGAAUCUGAAUGGUAUGCAUAACCAACUACUGAGUUUUGGAGUGAUGGGGUUAUUCUUUAUAUUCUAUUGAUUUGGUACAUUUGACAUCAUUUUAAGGUAAUAUAAUAGCAAAAUGUGUUACCAUUUACGUUCCAAAUUUGUUGAAGCUAUUUGUUCCAUGAGAUGUGAAACUUUUUGGUUACUUCAUAAUUUGAUUCAUUUACUUUCUACACAAUGCUAUCUUGAAGAACAUGCUCAUUGAGAAUUUCAUUAAAUAUUUCAAUGUUAAGUAAGUGAUAUCUCAAACUGAUUA